AGACGGCCCUGGGACAGGGACGUUCGCCAAAACCUCCCCAAGGCCGCUUUCCGUGACCGAGUCGGCCUCCCCGCCUGUACUCGUCCCGGCCCGAGAAACGAGACGCGGGGUGGAUCGGGACCAGGCGACGCACCAGGCCGGCCGGCGCUGCAUCCUCCCUCCCCCGACCUGACCUGACCUGGACGAACGCCUCCCCAUCGCCCGCCCCCGCGAGGCUGAUCCGUCCGGCCGGUGAGGAGGCCGCUUGUCGGGCGCCACCGGCUGCCCGGCAUCCUCUUAUAUAGUGUUCGAGGAGGUCGACCAGAAAGAAGAACGUGGACUUCUUUAGAGGAGUCCUUUGAAUAGCUUCUCCAUUUAGUUAACAUACAUCCAAAUGGAGGUCGGGAAACUUGGGUCCUGUUAACAUA